CGCAGGUGUCAGUAGGUGUGUGUGUGUGUGUGUGUGUCGGAGUGGCGAGAAGCGCCAUUUAUGAGGAACAGAGUGAGAGUUCACUCGUGUUGUUUGAGUGAGUUCGUUGGGCAGUUGAAAUAUUCAACUGUUGCACCGAACUUGUGUUUCUCUGUGUGCAAGAGAUCUUCAUGGGGCGAGUUUGAAGAGGCCUCCGUGACGGAGAUUGAGCAGGGGAGAAGCGAGACACGCGAGCGUACACGUGAAUUAUUAGUCACGUGACUGUUCCUGUUCGGUGCAGCGCUUCAUAAAAUGGAAGCCACAAUGGUGCGCUAACUCCAAAUGAACCACUGGACUUCUGAGGCGGAGCCGAGGGCGGCUCGGGAGGCGGAGCCGAGGGAGGCAAUGGCUUAGAAGGCUCAGAAGGCGGAGCUGAGGGAGGCUCAGGAGGUGGAGCUGAGGGAGGCUCUGGAGGC